GCGGCGUGCUUAACACAUGCAAGUCGAACGAUGAACCACUUCGGUGGGGAUUAGUGGCGAACGGGUGAGUAACACGUGGGCAAUCUGCCCUUCACUCCGGGACAAGCCCUGGAAACGGGGUCUAAUACCGGAUAACACUUCCACUCGCAUGGGUGGGGGUUAAAAGCUCCGGCGGUGAGGGAUGAGCCCGCGGCCUAUCAGCUUGUUGGUGAGGUAACGGCUCACCAAGGCGACGACGGGUAGCCGGCCUGAGAGGGCGACCGGCCACACUGGGACUGAGACACGGCCCAGACUCCUACGGGAGGCAGCAGUGGGGAAUAUUGCACAAUGGGCGAAAGCCUGAUGCAGCGACGCCGCGUGAGGGAUGACGGCCUUCGGGUUGUAAACCUCUUUCAGCAGGGAAGAAGCGCAAGUGACGGUACCUGCAGAAGAAGCGCCGGCUAACUACGUGCCAGCAGCCGCGGUAAUACGUAGGGCGCGAGCGUUGUCCGGAAUUAUUGGGCGUAAAGAGCUCGUAGGCGGCUUGUCGCGUCGAUUGUGAAAGCCCGGGCCCCGCCUGGGGAGUACGGCCGCAAGGCUAAAACUCAAAGGAAUUGACGGGGG
rnacentral:rRNA from 1 species